ensembl:lncRNA
GACGUCAUCAACCGCGCUGGGCCACUUGUUGAUGACGUCAUUCCCAUGCAGGCGCGAACGCGCCGAAAGAUAACGGCUGGGACUAAGUAUAAAGUAUUAAAAAUGGAGACAUCAGCGUUCCGCUAUGUCCUACUUGAAUGGACUGAGGGUGAUGAUCGUGGGGCGCAUAGUAUUUUGGCGAUGGACUGUGUCCGGAACUUUUCAGUUCAAGAUUUUUUUGCCUCGACUGAACAAAACGAGAAGCUGGUGGAAUGACGAAAAGGCCGCCAACCCUGGCCGGUUCACCGAGCCAAAAUUGUUGACGUGGCAAGUUGCCGUGAAAAAGAAAAAUCUUUCUAAAUACGAGGAGGAGGAGGAGGAGGAAGUGGAUGAUGAGGCACGUCAUGACACAAAGAACAAGCGGGCCAGAGAAGAGGAGGAGCAUAUUGGGGAUGAAGACGACAAAGUACCAGCCUCAAAGAAAAAGAGUGCUGCUGAAUUUAGAAAGCAACUGGACGAACAGAUGUGGGAGAGAAAAAAAAUUGAACAAAUGCAAAGAAAUUUGCAGGAGUUGCGAAAUGAAGUUCAGUCUCUCAAAAGUGAAAAUGCACAUCUGAAAGAUGUUCUGGAAUGGGAAGCAACCUGAAUGGUACAAAAACAUGUUGCUAAUCUCUUCUGUCCUUAAAAAAACAAAAAACAAGUCAGUCAUAUUCUGUGUAAUGAAUCAUGUUUGUGUGCGGGCAUACCAUCGCUUUUGUACUUGCCAUUUUUGUAUUUCCUUGCACCUCAAGAAAACGUAAUGUGUGUGUGUUACGACCCCCUGGAUGGUCUAGGGGUGCGGGGACCAUAAACAUAUAGGCAGAACCUGGUCGGGUGUAAAAGGGUAGUAUUUAUUGGCAACCAGAGGUAAACAGGCACGUAACAACAAACAAAAGGAGGGUGGAUGAGGGUGCUGUGAAAAGACAAACUAAGUAAAAUAAAAGAGAUCCCCAAAAGGAGAACUAUGCCUGAAUAUACGUUAAAACAAACAGUAGGCGCUUACCAUAAAAAA